CGUAGGACUGCCAUCCCCUCCUCAGCCUGGGUUCUGGAAAGGCCCUGGCUUGUUCUCCUCAGCCUCUGAGUGAGUUUCCAAGGACACUCUGGGCUCUCAGGGACAGGUGAUGAAAUGGAAUCUCAGAGAGGCCAAGCCAUUUGCCUGAGGUCACAAAGCAUUUUCAGACCAGGCCCCAAGGCUCUUUCAGAGACGGAUGGGAGGAGAGGAGAAAAGUGCAUCCAGUUCAUCUCCCCGGAAGUAGAAGCCACCACAAGGGGGCGCCUGGGUGGCUCAGUCGGUUGAGCGGCUGACUUCAGCUCAGGUCAUGAUCCCUCCUUCAUGAGCUCGAGCCCCGCAUCCGCAUCUGGCUGUGUGUUGACAGCAAGGAGCC